ensembl:lncRNA
UGGAGCUUUUAAUUGGGGGCGGGAGGGGGGGGGAGUGGGAGGGAAAGGAAAGGAAGGUCCUCUGGAAAUAUCUUCCGGGAUUAGAACGAGGAGCGCUGGACUCCCAUCUCGAUGCGGCCCUGUAGGAAAGCGCUGCGGGGACCGCGAAAAAGCUGCUCGGAAGGACCCACGGGGCUGAAAACGGGGAUUGGAAAAGAAAAAAAAAAAAAAAGUAGAUGGUGUGUGUGACAAAAAAAGCUGGGUGAUUCUGUUUUCUCAUGCCCUCGCUCCUCCACCAGCUGCACAGCCAAGCGCAGGCUGCUUGGCCCUUAUAACUAUCUUGGCACGGAGUCAAAAGCUGAUAAGCAUUUGGGCGAGACAGCUCAACUGCUGUGCUGGAAGAAAAACAGCUGCCAUGAUUUCUGUUUGAUUGAGAGCGCUUACACACACGCACAAAAAACACAUCGGGCUGCAGAGACGGGCCACGAAUGCCUGAGGAUUCAGCUUCAGAAGAGCAAUGCACGUUUCCUUAAGGGAAAGAAAAAAAAAAAAAAGUUUUAUGCAGUUUUGCCUCCGUUCCUCCUCCCCUUUUUAAGGAAAAUGUACUGCGUAGACUCGCUCCUCUCCUUCCCAUCCCCCUCCAUAACCUCAAGCAAACUCGAGGAAUUGUGCCAAAAGUCCCGUUGCUAGUUACUGAGUGCGUUUUUUUCAAACGUCCCUUUGAUACUUCUUCCCCUUGUGCUUGCCAUGGAAUAUGCAAGUAAGAUAAUCUUUCCAUUACUUACCAAAAGUAAUUAAAAAUGAAAAGGGCUUCUAGCAAACCUUCCUUUUCCUACUUUUUUUUUUUUUUCCCUCUGAAGGGGCAGGAGAAGGGAGGCGAGGGAGAGAAGAAUAUUUUUUCUCUUUGCGGAGUCCAACAUUUGGCUUUUUCCAUUUGUGGCAGAUCACUGUAACGCUAUUGUAAAACAACUUCCUGCCCCUUUUGGCUCCGGUUCCAGAAGCUGCUAGGCUAAGUUCAUAGCGCAAACUUUUUUUCCCCCCUUGCCGAAGAAGAAAGGCAAAAAAAAAUAAAUGUCCUGCAAAUGAUUCUCCUCCUUCUCCGGCUGAUGGACUCACAAGGUGAAUUCAUUGCAGCUCUGUAAGAAUGUCACACAAGAGGCAGCGCUAUCCCAGCUGGAUAAUUCAUGAGCCGAAAGGCAUACGACUUGAUGCUCUGACAGACUGCAGUCCGUUCCUCACGCUGAGCCCAGACAAGGCAGCUCCACGCUGCAGAUCGCUGUCUCCUAUGAUUUUGGGAGCCCACAUCAUACCGGCCCCCCCCGGCGCCCCAGCACCGCUGCCCCCAGCUGCCCGCAGCCCCAUAGGUGCGGGUGCCUCCCAGCCCGGUCCCGAUCCUCUUGCUGCUGCCCAGGGGCUCCCAGCCCGAGCACUGCCUCGCGACAGCAGGCAGCCAGCCCAGGUCACAAAUGGCCACCACGUUGGUAAUUCCAGCAGGAAAAAAAAACCCAGCUUUUUCCUCUGGCUACACACAGGAAAAAGAGAUGGCGCUUAUCCCAGGAGAUGCCGUAUUUCACAUGCAGUGCUUAACCUUAGAAACGUUAAAAGGACUUACCAUCCACUAUUCCUGUACCUUCAGCAGUGACUGACAACUCCAGUUCUCCAAGUUCAAGUGCUCUGCUCCAGCACUACUUUUCUUCUGAUUUCACUAGGAACGCAGAGUUACAACAAGCUAUUGGAUUUUAAAACACACCCCUGUUUAUUCAAAUGGGCAGGUCUGCUUAAAAUUGCAUGCCCUGAAGAAAUAGCUACUAGGGGAGAAAGGGGGGGGGAGUGAGAGAAUUAAAAUACAAGUAUAUGUAAAAAAGAAAGUAAAUAUCACCUUGUAAAAAAAUUAUAAAAAUGUUAAUUUUUAGAGAAUAGUAAGCUGCAAAAAAUAAGCAGAUAGACAUACUGAAAUCUGCCAUGAAAACCUGUCAUUUCUUCGGUCCACAAAACAGGGCAUUAAAAUACCUCCAUAUUGCAAAUUACUCGUAGGCUUUUCAGCUAGGCAAGAGUUGUCGGGUGCCCAAGUUUUGUAUGAGGAGGCUCUGUUUUUUAUCUGUUUUACAAUGGAGUGCUACAAAGUAAAUUGUAGUGGGAAGAAAAAGGAGAACGUACCACAGAAAUUGCUUUGUGUCUAUUUUUUUUUUUUUUUUUUUGCAGUGAAAUGUUAGUAAGGUGACAAAUUCACACACAACUGGAAGAAAAUAGAAAGGGUUGUCCAUUGCGAUGACACAUUCGUAGCACAGUUGCAAUUAUUUAGUAUACAUGAAGAGAUUUAACCCAAAUUGGUUGCAGAUAGUGAAUUCAUAGCCAUCUAUGAGCUGAAUGUUAGUCUUACCUAUUUUACAUAGCCAACUUCAGUUUUACAGUUCAAUUAAAUAUUUCUCUUUAACCUUUUAAAAAUAAAAUAUAUAACAAAUCAUGUGCAUCUUAGAUUCAUCUGUCUAGCUUGGCUGGCUGAGUAUCAGAGCGUAACAGAGUGUAUUGGCAUUUAAAUCCCUCUUCUUGAAAAAAAAAACCCUCUUAACGUGAACAAUAUUGACUCAUAAUUAUUAUCAUAAAAAAGAAUAACAAUGGUAUAAAUAACUCUAUUAAUGCAUUUAUCUGUACAGAUAAUACAGGCUUUAUAUUCUUUAUAUUAAUUGCAAGUAUAGAUUGCAGUUGAGAAAAAAUAACACCACAUUCAAUUCAGUACUUUAUAAAACUUGUAUUCCGUGAGCUGUCUUCCUGGGAAUCAUUUCUCCCCCACGUCAUGUUAUACUUACCAAAGUUGUCACACUUGUAUUCAUUACCAGGCUUCCUACAUUUUGAAAGGAUGUCUAAAUUUACAUAUUCGGCUUUAACGGUAUUCUGCUGUUUUUCAGCUUUAGUAAACAAAAUGUCACACAUACAUCUGAUUCUGUAUUUCCUUUGUCUAGAAAUUUUUAUUCCCAUACACAGAUACAGUUAAGCAUUCUGCUUAUAUAUAUAUAUAUGUAUGUAUAUACACACUCACACACACACAUUUCAUAUUUGACAAAAAUGACUGAAUACACAUCAAGGAUUUUAGAAAAUGUGAAUGGACUGCUAUCCCUCUCUCAGAGACACCCUGUGGACAAUGCACUGAAUGAUGAAGCACGCACUGGGGAAGCCCAAGCGAACUCCACCAACAGCAGCUGCAGCAGUGCAGUUUUGGCUGUGGAGCUCACAGGCAGUUGGAGCUGCAAGGCCUCGGUGCAGAAAGGCACCUCUGAAUUGAACCAUUUAUGAUUGUCCGGAAAGAAGGGACCUUUACAUUAUAUUACCUUGGCCUUGGAUAUAAUGCAAAGUAUUUUUUAAAAAGCGUGUGUCAUCUGGGUACUGAAAGCAAAAAAUCUUUCUGUGUAAUUUCUCACUUUUUUUACUUUUUGAAAGAUUAAUCAGCACCCAUACUGGCUAAAUGUCUGCCACAAUUUAAUACUCAUUAUUUUAACAAAGCUUAUUGCAGCACUGCAAAGCUAAAACAUUCCUGAAAGCAAAAUAUUCCCUGUGGUUUUUCUAUGCUACCUACACAAGAAGUACAAUGUGAAUGAUAAUGCUAGCAUCUCCAAAAAAAAAAUGUAAAAGUAAUGAAAAACCACUUCCAGAUAUUCUUACUGAACUGCUUUUUAAGGUGUUUAAAAACACCUUCCUUUUCUGAAUACUGAAAGUUCCCAGGGGAUAUCGGUGAUGAAUCCAUGGAAGUUUCAACUCCCAAACUUAACCAUGUUUUGUCAGGGCAUUUUACUAGAGAUUUAGAUGGAUGAUAAAAGCAAUGAAAUCUUACAAGGUCAACUCUUGAUUCUCAGAGCAUAUCAUCAACACUACAUUGCGUGCAAAUGCCACACAAUGAGUUUUUCUUGGUUCACUAAAAAAAAAUUCAAGAGAACUGUAUAAUGUUUUUUCUAGUGCAGCGAGUAACUUAAUAAGAAAAUCAUGAAGGGGGGAAAAAAAUAGACCGUGACACCUUUUGUCUCCUGGCAACAAGACAGCGAGACUCUGCCUGACUCAAUUAGAAAUACAUCUGCUUUUCAAAACUUUUUAAGCCAGACACUCAAAUUGGAAAGCCUUCCAUCAUUCAGCAAUAAGAAACAGAAACAAUCUUCUCUUCCCCCAACAAUUAUAUUAUUGACAUAUACUUCAGCUCCUCGGCGUGUGUGUGCACACACGUGUGCUGUGUGUAACAUGGCAGACCAUACAUAUCAAUGCAUGUGUAUGUACACUCCAGUGAGUGUGAAUACUGUGAGAGCAAGACUGUACAUUAAUAUUUGGUUUACAUAAAAUUGCAUAAUAUAAAUCACGUUAAUAACUCAGCCAGAAGAUUACUAAUAAAGGGUUACAUUUGAAUAACAGGAAAAUCUUGGAAGAUACUGUUUAGGACAUUUUUGUUCUAGUUAUACAAAUAAACAUGGCAUUUAGAGAACGCUAUAAAGUAUCUAACUAUACGAAAUAUUUGGUACUGCAUCAACAGCAAUUUUAUCCCUUCAGCAUUAUCGUAACGACUCAUCACUACAUUCAGAAAACAAGUACAACUAACUAACUGCUCUGUAACUACCUGAAUUUAAGACCUCAUUCCCUUAAUAGACCUGCAACAAUUAGGGAAACGGCCAUAAAGAUCGGGUAUUUCAUCUAAUAAAGCACAGCACACACAAACCAAAAUUCUGUUCCAGCACUCAGUUGGCAGCACUAGGAGUUUUCAGCACAGAAGGGAAAGCAAACAGAUACUUGAGAUUCAUUGUGGGGAUUCGUAAAACACAAUUUUGCUUUAAUACAGUACUUGCACACAUGCUCGGAUAGCAAAUGGCUAUGCCAUACGUACAGAGGAAGAUUUUUAUAGGAAUAUCGGAUUUACAGAAUGAGCAUUCACCUUUUACUGGCCAGCAAGUGGCCAAAACCUUAAUCAGGCUGAGAAAUGUAAUCCACUGGAAAAGAUCAUUUUGUGCUGGAACUACUGUGUGAUUCUAGCUUUUGUCUUUGCGUUUCCCUAGCAGAGAACGCCAUUUUGAGGCUGUCACACAUUUCUGUGUCCAAAGUGGAUAACACCUGCGGAAAGCAUAAGAAUGAUAUUCUCAUGCUGCAGAAAAAGGUAACAAUGCAGUGCCACAGAAAAGUACCAUUUUUACUUUUACAGGUGCAACUGAGGUUUGUCUUGUAUUUUCUUGUAUUGAAACCCAUAUAUGUAACUGUACAAUACACAGCUAUCUGUAGCCAUGCAGCACUUUGAAACUUCAGUGUGUUGUUUUGUUUUGUUUUGUUUUGUUUAAUCUAAGUACUCAAAGGAAAGAGGCAGAAGAAGAGACUUUACCUGAAGUCAACAUGGGCAAAUAAGCAUUUACUUCAAAUGGCUGUUGUCGAGUUACAAUGGCCCUAAACCAUUCAUCUGUCAGUCUGGUAUUUAGAAAAAAGCUAAAUCAAUAAUUAAAAAAAAAAAAAAAGAAUAGAUUCAGGAAUUACAUGUGAAGCCUGACCAAAACCAUGCUCUACAGGAUAGCUUUAUAACUUUUUAUUUCUUCUCCCCUUAGAAAUAGAGCAAACCAUUGUCCAAAGGAUCAGAAAAAUCUGCUUGUAAUAGAAACAGCUUAAUAUUCAAGGCAGAACAGGCAUGUGUGUAAUGGUUGCUUAACUGGGGGGAAAUGCUUUUCAGUGUGAAUGGUUCUUACUUCGUCUUCACUUCAGGGGUCACAUUUGGAAACAAUUCUGAUAAAGCAAGUUAAGAAAAAGUAAUGCAGGAGUUCACUUCUCUGAUUUCCUAAUUUCAGUAGCAUCUUUGUCUAGGAAAUAAGAAAGGUCUUGAAAAGACUAAAACAAUGUUUGGGUUUAUCAUGUAUACUAACUGGAAAAAUCACUCACAGAAGCAGAAAUGCUGAGGACUCACGUUGACACAGUAAAAUAGACUAUGCCCCGCUUACUCUUUUCAUGCAAACUUUGCCUGGGACAAAGCUCUUUUCAAACUGUUUUGUUGUUGUUGUUUUAAAUAAGAUGAUUAAAUAAGCAGUAAGUUGGGUGGGGGUAAUGUCUUUGCUACAAAUACCUUGAGAGCCUAUACUCAAAUAUAUCCAAAGCAGAAAAUCUCAUAAAGGCUCCACUCAGUAAGAAGCUUUUAGAAGUGGCACUUUUACUACCAUAUUAUCUUAUUGUAUGUUGAAGUAUUUAACACAGAGAAAAAAUAGCUUUCCUUUCAUACAGACACAUAGUGCGUUUUUAUAAGGUUCCAGUAUUUUUCUGAGGAAAAAGUAUUUUAAAAUUUGAAAAUUAGUGGAAUGUUCCCUUCAUUUUCAUUUUCAUCUAAGCAGCUAUCCACAUUUUAAAACUGUCCUAUAACUCUUCAGCCCCAGAGCAAGCACAACCCCAUCAGUGCUUUAAAGCAAAUGAAAACAAAAACACAAAAAUCAACCCCACAAGAAAAAUAAAUGCAACAGACAUUGCCUUGACACUUUGUUUAGUGUUUUAAUCCUGCAGGUAACAAAAAAGCAACACCAGUACUGAAGAACACAUGGUGAAGUGGAUGGACCUCGUAUUUUCAUUACUAUAUGUACUAGUUUUAGCUAAUGAACAUAAGUGAAUAAUAUACACAUGCUAACCUGACAUUAUCAUCUUUAUUGGAUAGUAGAUAUAGUAAGCAUAGCUUUCCCCUCUGUCUUCUAUUAAAAUGUAAAGCAAGUAGUCUUGGCGAAUUUCAAGUAACGAAUAAAGGAAACAGGAGUGUCUAUUUCAGUAUUGCUGUAUUCAGUGUCCCUUGCUACUGACAUACUAACUUUGUGCCCUUCUUGCUUGGCUCAGCUUUAAAUGCAAGCUUUCAUUAAAAUGGAAUGACAUUGGAGUUGCUUGGCCACUUUUUAAAAUGUUAUUUUAUUAAUAUUUUAAUAAUAAAUAAUUAUUUUGCUAUAUUACAGAAUACAUUUUUAAAUCUACAAGUAGACAACUGGAAAUGUUUGUUUAAACAGCAAAUAAAAUAAGAGAAAGAUGUUAACUUUUUAAUUGAAAUGUCUGGAAUGCCAAGUAAACAAAUUAAAAUGAAGAGAAAGAGAGACAGAAACAGAAAAGACUGCUGUCUCACAGAAAAGACAAUUACAGUACCCUGUAUUGAGUAAAACCAUAUUUCAGCGUGUAAUCUGAAGCAGCCUAAAAGGAGCUGUAAGAAACAUGCAUGUGGACACUGCAGCAAACGGUAUUAGCAGUGCUGUUCCCUAAGCCAUAAGGAAAACCCACUCUGAAAUCUGUUACACCAAAAUGGUAGUCCUUCGGGGAUUUAUUGUGGCAUAAAAAGUGGGAAAAAUAAAAAUCAGUAUGCCCUGAAAUGCCCAAGAGCUGACACCUACUGUAAUGCACAUUUUUACCUUGAUGCUGUGUUUACAUCCAUUUAUGUUCACAGUCUUAUGGAGCCCCAAAGCUUAGUACCAUAGUAUUACUUAUUUCUGUGAUGGCACUGUUGUGAGUUUCCCUGUUCACAUACAGGCCACCUGUGCUCACUGCUUACCCUGCUGGGUUUUACACUGCUUGCCUGUCAUCAGCAAUUAUGAGCUUUUUUUCUUUUUUUUUUUCAUUGGAUAGAAGGAAGGGUGGUGGAAAAGAAGUAUUUUGACUGAAGAUAUGUUUGCAGUUCAAGUAAUUGCUUUAUGAUCUAUCAUUUCAUAGAUUUUAGUGCUGAGCAAAGAAAAGCAUGUAGAAAUGAAAAAUAAUAAACAUCUUUCAGUGAAAUGUGAUGGUUUUCUAUUGUGAAUUUUCCAAAUAAUUUAUCUCAGAUAUAACGUUUAUGAAUGUUCAGUGGUCACAACAAAUAAAAACGAGAUGCAUCACAUUGUGCCACCAGUUAUUUCUAAAGCCAAACAAAAACCCCACCCAACAAACCAGUUUGUUUCUUUUUAACAUAGAAUUAAUUAUAAAUGAGAAAUUCCCAGCUCAGUCUGGCUUUGUACCCCUCAAUUAUCAUAUCUGGCUUCACAUUUUCUGUAUGUGUAUAUUUAUGUCAUGCAGUGCUGGUAGAAUGCGGUGAAAAAGGUGACGAACACAAUCUGAUGGGACACAGCAUCACGUUUCCUUACAAGCUGAAUUUCAGCGCUUGUCAACUGUAAUACUCUGAGACGCAGCUAUGACCUUGGAGGCCCAAGUUCAAUGCUGCGAUUGCCACGGCAUUUUUCUUUUAGAAGAGAGAAAUCCCGCCAUUUUCUCUCACAUAUUGCUUCUUCCCUUGAAAAAGUCUAGUAAGAGCUGGGGGGGAAUUAAAAAAAAAAAAAAAAAGGAAAAAAAAAAAGAAAAACGAGUAAAGACAGCACGCAGCACGAUCUAGUUCCCUGUGGUGGCAAGCCCAAGCUGCGCGCUCUCCUCAGUGAGGUCCGGGCGCGGCGGCCACCAGCAAGCAGGGAGCUGAGGCCUUCACUCCUCCGGUAUGCUGCCAUUCUCCGCCAGCACGCGCCGAAAUUAGUUCUCCAUUUUGUGGUGGCCCUUGGAGAGCAAUUCCCAUUGAGCGGGGAACAAAGGCCGUGACCCCGGGGUCAGAGUGUAAUGCAGGAAGCAUGACCUCCCCUUUGUUCACAACAGCACUGUUUACUCUGCCUAAGUAAAGAUCACCAAUACAUUAACUAAAGAGGAUUAAAAAGGUCAUAUCCCCAGGGAUGGAGCUCAUGCAAGUGGCAACUCUCUUCAGUCACUAAAUCAUUCCACUUUUUCUUUUUUUUUCUUCCACUUCUUCAAACAUAGAGACACCUUCAGCCGCCAAGGCUCAAUGGCAUAUUAUUUCCUGAGCAAAAAUACAUACAAAAUCCAUGUAGUCUUCCUCCCAAAACCAGGCUAAUUGCUGCACAGUUAUUGAACUGUUUUGAAGUUAUCAAAACAUUUCAAGUGAAAACUACCACCUCAGAAUGCUUUGUUUUCAACAUUUCUGGGAAAGUUCUAAGCUGAUUUAUAAUAUUGUUUGGGUCUUAAAACAGUUUAAAAACUGUAAUAUUUUGUAGAUAUCAUAAAUGUAAAUCUUAAAAUAUUUCACAGUAUACAAAUAUGCAGGAAAAAUACCUGAUGCUGGAGAACAUAAUGGCCAGCUCCAGGAUUUUUCACUGGUAAAAAAGAAACAGAGGAAAAUAAAGGAAAAAUAUGCUGCCUAUUAGAAAUGAUGCAUGCCACUAUCUGGGCUUAAUCAGGUUAAAUAAGCACUUACUUUUGCUGUUAAGCUUUCUGUUAGCAACUCGUUUACAGUAUCCUGGGACAAUAUUAUUAAUAUGAGAUUUAUCAACAGAAGCAAGGCUUCAUGUGUAGGCUUCCUUAUCUGUGGUGAUACUGCUUACCAGGAUCUAAGUGUUAACACCAGUUACUCAGCCAGGAUGGGAGGAAAAGAGCAUGUGAAUUGAGUGGCUUACACUAAAAUAUCUUCCCCUCUACCAUCAGGCAGGUGCACUUCUGAAGAAGCUAAGCAUUGCUAGGGGCUCCAGAAGAGAAUAUGAUUAAGGCCAGGCAGGGGUGCCACGCUGACCAAAGUCUUUGGAGCAGGGAGCUUAGUACCACAGACAGACUCCUCAUGGGCUAGAUGCAGUUGAAAGCGAGCACUAGAUUACCCAUGUCAGCAGACUUUCUAAGGAGGCCCAGGAGUGCCAGGCUCCAAAACAAGGUCCUAAACCAGCAGGGUACAGGAGUUAUCUAGAUUAACUAUUUGAGAUAGGAGGAAGGGUGUCUUCCAGUUCUUAGAUAAUUUGUGCAAAUUAACAUAUUUUGGAUCCAUAAUAAUACAUGUAGCUUUCUAGUGUCUAGCAACAGGAAUUAACACUUGAAGUGUCUCAUUCCAGAUGAAGCAAUCUGGGGGUCUCAUUAUACCCAGACAGCAUGCCCCUUCCUCUGUCUUCUGCUUGCCAUGCAUCCUCAAGCAACAUGCAGGAUGCGAAAGGUUCCUCCUCAGGACACCUGAGAAGUGACUUUCCUUGUUUGCAAGCUUCUUCAUAGCAGGAACCCGUGAAUUUCAAUAUGUUUUAUAAGGAUCUGAAGAGAGAAAUGAAAUCAAGAAUCCAAAAUAAAUAACAUUAUAUUUGCUUUACUGUAUUUUCUGUUUGCAAAAAUAAUUGCUUCCUUCGCUCACCCUCGCUGUUCCUUGUUCCUGCUGUUUCUGGUCUUUCCUUACCCCAGUAGGAAGAGAGGGAAAGAGACUAUCAUCAGGAAAACUGAAAGGAAGAUGCCUCUGUAGCAUGCACAUGCCGCCAGGAAGCAUGAGGUUUAGCCCAGAGGGCUCACAAAAUAAAAGAAACUUCCAGACUACGUGUUGGCAUCAAGAUGAGUGACAUGCCCACUGCAGGUAGGUGAAUGACUGGCACUCAGGACAACUCCCUGCAUUUCUCACCUCUCCACUUCUUUGUCUAGAAUGUAUGAAACUAAUCACACAGUUUCCAGUGACUGCUAUUCCUCAAAAUCUAGAAGAAAAAUAUUGGGCUUUUUAAUGCACCAAGGGUCAAAGAAAGAACACUGGAGUUGGAAAGUACUGACAGACAACUAAGUUUAAAAAAGUCAAUGUCCUUAGCAAAACAAGCUCUUAGGGAAAGAAAAAAAAAAAAAUCUACAACAGGUAUUUAAAAUAACCUACUGGGAAAUCCAGUAACACAUUGUCUCGUUGCAUGUUUAUCAGAUCUUCCCAUUGACUUAAAUGGGAACACUCUGCUUUUAUGCAUGAAAGAUUAUGCAGGCAUAGAGUAUCGGUUCAAAAUAAAGGGAAACAAUCUCUAAACACAGAAGAAGUACGUGGACAAGGGCAAACUGGGUACUGAGAAAAACUUUACAUAUGUCAAGGCAAAGAGGUACCUUUUUUCAAAAACAAAAAGCACUGAACUGAAAUUAAUAGAACUAAGAAUGUACUUACAAAGUAGUAUUUAAAACUGGGAUUAGAAGCAUAAGGACUGAACCAAGGAAUCAAAGACAUAAAGACAAUUUAUUGACAUACAGUAAAAGCAAGAAGACUGCACAACAGUUGUCUGGUAGGUUUGAAAUAGUAUUGGGGGAAAAAAAGGAGUGAAUAAAGAGGAAGAAAAACUGCAACAAAGAUAAUGGCUGAUUAUGACCUUGAGGUCUUUAGUCAUGCAAAAGAGUGAACUCAACUUUUCAUAUAUAUGGCCACGUUAACAUUUCUUGAUAGCUGGGUUCCUGAUGAGAGCUAUAUUAAGAAAAAAACAAACAAAAAUCUCUACAACCACUAACCCUCCUGAAGAAAUGCAAGACUAUACACCUCCUUCAGCCUGCAUGUCCUUCAUUCUCCAGUUCUUUUUCUUUCACUCCAGCCAAUGUAUGUAAAUCCAAAAUGGGAAGUAAAACCACCCUACAAGAAGUUAUGGAAUAAGACGUUUCUUCUCUUGGAACAGGAAAACAGCUGGAGGAAAUGUCACUCUGUGACACAAAGUUCUUGCACAGAUCAAUUUUUUUCUGGGUGGAACAAUACUGACCACUCCUCUCAAUGUCCAGAAAUCCAAACAGACUGAGAGGCAGCCUUUAUCUUAAAAAGAACAACUUCUUUUUAGGCCUAGAGCAGGUGGAAACCAUUGAAAAAGGUUUGUACUAACAAAGUGAUUAAAUUGUAUUUUCUGAACCCGGCAGAUUACAUCUCGUUAAUCUCUUCUUCUGCAAGUAAAGGGCAAGAGAGCAGCAGAUAAGAAAACAGAAAGUGCAGAAAUAACUGGAGAAACUAAAAGACAAGACAGGCUGCUCAAGAUUAAAAUCAGCGUUUCCAACCAAAAGAAAAUGCAUUCUUCUAUCUGGAAUGAAAGAGUGGUACUCCUUAAAUAGCCACAGAAAUAGUCCACAUUACAUGCCAAUGAAUUCUAGCAUUUAAUAAAAUGGUUGGAAGGCUACUUGAAAAUAUGUUAACCUGAAUGUCUAAGAAGAGGUUACAGAAUGGGGAGAAAAACAAUACAGCUAACGUAAUGAAAAAUACAUCUUUUUAUAUUGGAGUGGAUCUGCAGGUGAAAUUAUUAUUUACUUGGCCAUUCAAAAGGGCUUUGAUAGUGACUCAAAGAUCAUAAAGAAAACAGAGCAAUUGUGACCAAAAUUUAGGCUCAUGAUUAAAAACGAGCUAAGUAGCCCAAAGCAAAAUGUAGGGAUAAAAAAGGCACUUAAGAAGAAAAAGAUUAACAGUAAUUGUAUGCAGAAGUUACACUUGCAUCAGCUUUUAACAUUAUUUAGUAGUCUGGGAAAAAUUAAUUGUAAAACAAAGUGGCAAAAUUGACACUUGGAGUGUAUUUGGAUUACUGAAGAAAUUUAACAAAGUUAAACGAGUAUGAAACAACAUGAUAAAUACUUAUUGGUAAUUAUUAAGUAAGUUGCAUAGCAACAUUCUCAGCAAAGGAAAAAGAUCGGGGUGCCAUCACAACAAUUCAACAGUACUGUCAAAAAAAAAGACAAUUUUAACAGCACAUGCAAAAAAGCACAGAAACUAUGCUUCCAGUGGGUACCUGACUGGGAAAUACCUUCAAGAAGAAUGCUGUCUACAGUUCUUUUUACCUUACCUCAUUAAAACCACAGAACAUGAGUGUAAGGGCAGGUGACCAAAACGAUCUGGCUCUCGAGACGAUUGCCAUGUAACAUGACAAAGUGAUGAUGUUAUCAAGCACAUGAGCAACAGGGGACACGACAGAGAUGCACACUUUGAAAGUCAGAACUGUACUUUUUUACGUAUAGUGUUCAACAGGAGAGCACGCAGUAAAAUUAAAUGAGCAGCAUUAAAACUCUGGAAAUAUAUUACCUUACUAAGUGUAGGUAAGCAUGUGAAAAUCAGUGCCACAGUUCUUCAUUAAGGGACAUCAGUGAGACUUUGAAAGAAUACUGUUCUAUGCACAGCCUAUAGAAAUGUAACAUUAAAUAGGAUCGUUUGCUGGAAAUACCCUUGCACAAACCUGUAACAAAGCCAUUGGCCAAGGUAUCUGGCUGGACUAUUUUCUGACAAGGACAGGGUAUUCCAGAAGGAUCAAAUGCUGGUUGUUUUUGCCCUGCAUUUUCUUACCAACCAACCCUUUGUAAGAACGGUCUGGGUAGACUUAGCAUUAGACUGCAGAUCUAAUCCAGUGCAGUAAUUUCUACAUUUAAAUGUUUGCUAUGGUCAAAAACAAUGAUCCCCAAAACCUCUUCCCACCCCUACUACAAUGUGGUAAGAAUGAAAUAAUUUAUCCUCCAAGUUAGCUGCUGUGCCUGAUGCAAUGCUACCAAUGCAUUUCUCAAACUUCACAAAAAUACUUGGAAGCACGUAUUUUUUGCUACCUGCUUUUCCUCUCACCUUAAAUAAUUAGGAAGAACUUACAAGAUUCUGCUUCACAAUACAAAUGCGUUUCCUUAUUUUAUUAUCUUUUUUCCCCAUCCACACAUCGUUAUUUGUAAAACUCAUUUAAUAAUUCUGAGAGAUUCCAAGAUGUGUGUCAGAUGCUGGGAUAUUGCCACUUGUGUGGUGGUUUGCUACACUUACCCUUCAGUCUUGUGGCUAACAAUUCACCCAAAAUGUGAUAAUACCUCACCACAACCCACACGCUGCUGCUCUUCAAAGGAGAACAAGGAUACAUAAUUAUGAGAUGAUGAGCUCAAAUGUAAGACAGGAGAUGAGGGAACAGAUUCUGUAACCACACCUAUGAGUGGUUAAACUACUGAAGAAGUUUCUGCAGCUCCACUUUCACUCACAGCAUCAACAAAAGCCACGCAUUUUCAAAAUACUUAAAUAACAUUUGCUACAGGGGAGGAAUAAACACAGUGAUAAUACGUUGUCCCUGCAGAAGAAAAGAGGUUUAACAUCUAUUAAGAAUGUAAAUAAGUAUUAUCAACAAAUAGACCUUAUAGUCAGUGUAAGCAAGAUAUGCACACUUUUACUAGAAACACUGUCAAGAUCUCACUCCUCAAGAAUUUUUACUUUAAAAUAUUCUAAGUCUCAUUCCAACCUUUUGUGAUCAUGUAGUUUCACUCGUAACAGAAGGAACUGCAGAAGAAAAUAUCUAAGUGUAUCCAUGUCGAUGCAGGGGCUAACAGUGAAGCAUUCUGCACAGAAAUUAAGAACUGGUUACAGAUAGACUUUAGAGUCUACAAGAUCAGUCCCGUGGUGGAUAUUCUCAAUAAAGAAAACAUCAAAGCACUAUCCUUACUAGACUAAAAAUGUUGCAACUAGUUUUUGUGGGUUUUGUCAUAAUUAGUGAGUCAAGAAAUCUGGGGCAAAGCAAGACGCAAUUAAAGAUGCCAUCAAACUCAACAACUGUGAGAACUGACCAUCCUUUCAAAAUAUGCAUUAAUAUGAGAUUAAUGAGUAAGGAUUUAAAAAUAACAGGAUUACAUGCCUACUUGAUUUCUCAUUAUUAAAAAAUAAAAAUAAAAAAU